ensembl:snRNA U6 U6 spliceosomal RNA
GUUCUCAUUUUAGCAGCACACAUACUAAAACUGGAAUGAUACAGAAAAUAUUAGUAUAGCCCUUGCACAAAGCUGACACAUAAAUUCUUGAAGCAUUCCAUUUAAAA